CCGCUGGGAUUUAGGGUUCCAGCCCGGGGGUGCUGAUUAUUCCCCAUCCACGCUUCGCUUCCCACCCUAUAAAGCGCUCCUCGAUCCAGACCUUUGCUAAAAAUAACAAGGCGCAGAGGCAUCCUCGAUUCGACGUGCGCUUCCUCCUCGCUCGCGGAUAUGUCUGACGUUGAGGCCGAGUACCGUUGCUUCAUCGGGAACCUGUCAUGGUCAACAACUGAUGAGAGCCUCAAGGAUGCAUUCGCCAAAUUUGGAAACCUCACUGAGGCAAAGGUAGUUCUUGACAAAUUUUCUGGCCGAUCUCGCGGUUUUGGCUUUGUAACAUUUGAUGAGAAGAAAGCUAUGGAAGAUGCUAUUGAAGGGAUGAAUGGGCUGGACUUGGACGGGAGGAACAUCACUGUUGAUAAAGCUCAGCCACAAGGGCCUGGUAGAGAUCGUAAUGGUGACCGUGAUUUUGAUCGUGACCGUGGAUCUCGUUAUGACCGUGGCCGCGACUAUGGUGGUGGUGGUGGACGUGCACCGCGUGGUGGCGGUGGCGGUGGGGACUGCUUCAAGUGUGGAAAACCUGGUCAUUUUGCUAGGGAGUGCCCAUCUGGGGAUGGCGGGAGAGGGGAUAGAUAUGGUGGCAGAGAUGACAGGUAUGGUGGUGGUGGUGGCGGUGGCGGCCGUUAUGGAUCUGACCGUGGUGGUGACCGAUACUCUAGCCGUAGCCGAGAUGGUGGCAGCUACGGGGGCGACCGCUACAACCGUGACCGAUCUGGUCCCUACUGAUGGCCUAGAUCUUGAGCAGUUUGUGCCAUCCAGGCAUAUGACUUGGUCAUAGUGCUUGGCGCUUGGAUCCUGCAUGUUUGCUUGAUACGCUAUUUGGCUGGAUUUUGUCGCUGUGUGUUGAUGAUCCUGAUCCUAGUUAUGCUUAUGGGGAUGCCUGGGAUAUGGGGGGUUGGAUGGCAAGUUAUGUUCGCAUUAUGUUCAUUUCGGGGAAUCAAGGGAUCAGCUGUAUUCUGCUUGAACACACGAACAAGAAAAAUCACCUUCUGAAAGCAAGCGAUGAAUAAUCUGUAAGGGAAAAAUUAACUGGCUUCUUUUUGGUUAUUUGUUCUCUUGUUCUGGAUUGGUUGCUCCUGUCGUUCCGGAUUGGUUACUAGUGUCCCAAGAUCAUUUCAGUUGUCUCAUCUUAGUCUGGCGAGUGGUUCCGCGAAUGCAAAGGGUUCUUUGGUUCCUUUCUAUGUGCUAAUAGCAUCGGAGGACCACUGCAAAGAGACUCCUCUUUGGCUCCAUUGUAUGUACAUUCGCACUGGAGGACCAACGCAGCGUAGCAUACUGUUUCUGCCUGUCCCUCUUGGGUGGCUUGACUACCUGGCUAUGGUUACUUUGACGUACUCGUGGCUGCCUCUGGGUGUUCAUUUAGCUGCCCCGUUUCUUGACUUGUGAGAUCAGCGAUCAUGCUUAUGCAGCCUGAGUGAAUGUCAUGCUAUCUAGUUGCUGUUCUUUUGACACUGCACCAGUGGUCUAUCGCUUCUUCUGCCCUGUUAUAAGCACCGCUGCCCUUUUGAGAGGAGUUCCAUUGAUGUUAUGCUCCAUCUGCAGAAUUUUGAUUGUUGGAUUGUCGUCUCAUGGAAUGCAAUAGCCUUUAUUUGCCUGUCUGAGAGAGUACCAGUGAUUAUGCUUCAGCGGCAGCAUUCAAAUUGUUGCAUCGUCGUCUCAUGGGAUAAAUUAGCCUUAACUUGAGUUCUUUUUUCUAGACUGCCAAUAAGAAGGUUCAUCUUUUGCUGUUGAUUAUUAGCCAAUUGAGUUUAUGUACUCACAUACGUCACAACAGCUGCAACAUUUCACCCAUUUUUGAACAUUUCGGUUGAUUUGUAUUGUGCAAGUUGUGAAUUCAGCGGAUCCAGCUUGUUUUUC